ACAGGGAACUGCAGCAGUUUGCCUCAAAACUGUGUUGAUAAGGGUUUGCAAGUCUCACCACACUGCUUCAGACUUCCUCACAGGCCAUCAACCGGUGUCAGACACGACCAGACAGAGGACAACUCCCACUACAAAGCAAAAAGGCUGCUGAAGGUGCCAGUCUCUCACCUAGCCGUGCUCGGAGGUUGCACCACCCUUGCAAUGCUGGCUUUCGCCUACGGUGCUGAGCGGUUACAGCACUCCUGAAGCACUCACAUCAGUAUUGACCAAUACUGACCACUCCAGGAGUUUAUUCUGCUCAAAACCAGAACUGAGAUCUGUAUCCCCAACAUCACUGACCUACAGAUUAAGGGGUUGUGAAUCCAAACCGAGAGGCUCCAGAGCGCCAUUUCAUUAGGUUCAUCUGCUCACGGGCCUUUGGAAAAGGAAGAAAGUAACAAAUCGAAUCUUUUCACAAGCCACUCAGACGAGAAGUGCCUGAACAACCUUCCCCCUCCCCUUCCACACCAAGGGGCAAACUUUAUGUGG